AGAAUUAGAGGACGGAAGGGGCAGCCGUCACCCUUGUUAGGAGAUGCGGGAGUGUCGCCCCGCCUAGUUCU
rnacentral:ncRNA from 12 species